rnacentral:rRNA from 1 species
AUGCUUGAUCUCAAUGAGUUGCCUCCUGAUCUCAAUGAGCUUCCUCAUGAUACGGAUCAGCAGCAACCCAACAUACAACAAGGAAAAUGGACAGAAAAUGGUCGAUCUGUUUACUACACGCAAGCAAGUCAUGAUGGUAACCCUAUGGGCCAUGACAAUGUGGCAGGACAGUCAUCAGACCGUGGUGCCCCUGUAGUGGUGUCUUUGCAGUCAGAGAGCCAUACUCUAGAUGACACGGGAACCGAGGCAAAUGUUCCUGGUCCAACCAGGACUGAGCUAGGAGCUAGGGCUGUUGACGGAGCUGUGCAAGGAGAAGAAGGAGAGGAUGAGGCUGGUUCUCAACCUAUGGAACCCUAUGUUGGCAUGAGGUUUGACAGCCUUCAAAUAGCUAAGGAUCACUACAACAGCUACGCACUACGGAUGGGUUUCUCUAUCAAGAUGAACACAUCUAGACGGACACCCCGCACCAAUGAAUUGAUAAAACAACAGUUUUGCUGCAACAAGUUCAAGAAGCCCAAAGCUGAUGAUGGAGGAGCUGAGGCUCCUCCUGUCCUGGACCCUAUUCCAGAUCCAAAAUCUGUUGAUAGUGAUGAGGAGAUGGAAGAAGAACCUCCAAUAUUUGCUGAAGAGGAGGCUAGUACUAGUAAGAAGAAGAAGAAGCGCAAACGCGAGAAAAUAAAGCAGACUCAGUGCAAAGUGAAAAUGUUGGUGAAGCUGAUAGAUGGGCGAUGGGAGGUGACACACUUUUGUUCAUGA